rnacentral:rRNA from 1 species
AGAGUUUGAUCCUGGCUCAGGAUGAACUCUAGCGACAGGCUUAACACAUGCAAGUCGAGGGGCAGCGGUGGUGAAGGCUUGCCUUUACCAGCCGGCGACCGGCGCACGUGUGAGUAACACGUAUGCAACCUGCCUGCCACGGCCGGAUAAUCGGGAGAAAUCCCGUCUAAUACGGCAUAAUGCAUCGACGGGACAUCCUGUUGGUGCCAAAGGUUGAUUCCGGUGGCGGAUGGGCAUGCGUCGCAUUAGUUAGUUGGCGGUGUAAUGGACCACCAAGACGACGAUGCGUAGGGGUUCUGAGAGGAAGGUCCCCCACACUGGUACUGAGACACGGACCAGACUCCUACGGGAGGCAGCAGUGAGGAAUAUUGGUCAAUGGGCGGGAGCCUGAACCAGCCAAGUCGCGUGAGGGAUGACGGCCCUAUGGGUUGUAAACCUCUUUUGCCGGGGAGCAAAGUGCCGCACGUGUGCGGUUUGGAGAGUACCCGGAGAAAAAGCAUCGGCUAACUCCGUGCCAGUAGCCGCGGUAAUACGGAGGAUGCGAGCGUUAUCCGGAUUUAUUGGGUUUAAAGGGUGCGUAGGCGGACGCUUAAGUCAGCGGUAAAAUUGCGGGGCUCAACCUCGUCGAGCCGUUGAAACUGGGUGCCUUGAGUGGGCGAGAAGUACGCGGAAUGCGUGGUGUAGCGGUGAAAUGCAUAGAUAUCACGCAGAACUCCGAUUGCGAAGGCAGCGUACCGGCGCCCAACUGACGCUGAAGCACGAAGGCGUGGGUAUCGAACAGGAUUAGAUACCCUGGUAGUCCACGCAGUAAACGAUGAAUGCUAGUUGUCCGGGGCGAUUGAGUUCUGGGUGACACAGCGAAAGCGUUAAGCAUUCCACCUGGGGAGUACGCCGGCAACGGUGAAACUCAAAGGAAUUGACGGGGGCCCGCACAAGCGGAGGAACAUGUGGUUUAAUUCGAUGAUACGCGAGGAACCUUACCCGGGCUCAAACGCAGGAGGGAUGUUUUUGAAAGGAGGCAGCCAGCAAUGGUCUCCUGCGAGGUGCUGCAUGGUUGUCGUCAGCUCGUGCCGUGAGGUGUCGGCUUAAGUGCCAUAACGAGCGCAACCCCUACCUACAGUUGCCAUCGCGUGAUGGCGGGCACUCUGUGGGGACUGCCUGCGCAAGCAGUGAGGAAGGCGGGGAUGACGUCAAAUCAGCACGGCCCUUACGUCCGGGGCGACACACGUGUUACAAUGGCAGGUACAGCGGGAAGCCACCCGGCGACGGGGCGCGGAACCCGAAAACCUGUCUCAGUUCGGAUUGGAGUCUGCAACCCGACUCCAUGAAGCUGGAUUCGCUAGUAAUCGCGCAUCAGCCACGGCGCGGUGAAUACGUUCCCGGGCCUUGCACUCACCGCCCGUCAAG